rnacentral:rRNA from 1 species
GACGAACGCUGGCGGCGUGCUUAACACAUGCAAGUCGAACGAUGAACCCAGAGCUUGCUCCGGUGGAUUAGUGGCGAACGGGUGAGUAACACGUGAGUAACCUGCCCUUGACUCUGGGAUAACUGCGGGAAACUGUAGCUAAUACCGGAUACGACCCUCGGCGGCAUCGCCAGGGGUGGAAAGAAUUUCGGUCAAGGAUGGACUCGCGGCCUAUCAGCUAGUUGGUGAGGUAACGGCUCACCAAGGCGACGACGGGUAGCCGGCCUGAGAGGGUGACCGGCCACACUGGGACUGAGACACGGCCCAGACUCCUACGGGAGGCAGCAGUGGGGAAUAUUGCACAAUGGGCGCAAGCCUGAUGCAGCAACGCCGCGUGAGGGAUGACGGCCUUCGGGUUGUAAACCUCUUUUAGUAGGGAAGAAGCGAAAGUGACGGUGCCUGCAGAAAAAGCACCGGCUAACUACGUGCCAGCCGCCGCCGUAA